UCUGGCAACACUGGUUGGUUUACUUCGAAUUUAAUAUGCAUUACUGUGGUAUUUCUCCAGUUUUCUAAGAAGGUUGGUGAUUUUGAAUUGGAUUAUGAUGAAUUUAACCCAAAGGCAAUGUGUGUUUAUUUAUUGGCAAAAUUCCAGGACCAUAAAAAUUUGAGUUUCUUCUUGUUGCCCAUGGAUGAAAAUCGGCUUGCAGAAUGAAAAGAAAUUGUUCAAUGUGAUAAACUUUCUAUGAACAGUCCUCAAUAUUGUUACAUUAACUUUUAAAUAUGCACUUUACAUCUUGAGGAGCAGGCCUUUGCAGAAAUACUGAAAAGCGGGUUGCAAAACAAUGCAAAAUAAAAUAAACGAAAUAUAUCUUGAGAUUAAACAUUUAAGUUGAAGGUGUGUUCUUCCUUAAACUGGAAUGAUAAUUUUGUAAUUCUGUAGGCACAUCUAUUGAGAAGUUACAACCAGUGGCAAAGUGCCUUAAGGGAGUCUAUGACAUAUAUUUGAAGGGACAUCUCCUCUGAAGGAAUUACAAUUAUUUGCCAGUAUGUCAAAUGAAUUUUCAACAUCAGUCAUACUUUCAUGAAUUUAUUGAUGAAAAUAAAACUAGGUACAUGAUUUAUUUACUUCCAAGGGAUUCUAAGAUACUAUGUGUAAAAAGUCAAAUAUGCAGUGAUGAGCAUGCUAAUAACUGGCAAAAUAUGGGAUAUAACGCCAAAGAUGGGAAACAUGGGAUGAAUUCUAAAGUAAAAAGAGAUGAAACUGAGAGAAAUUAUCGAUAUAAACAUAUAAAUUAACAUUACAUUACAUAGUUUCCCACCUUUAGACGUAUCAGAUGAGUAUGAGAACUGUCACUGUGACAGGAGAAUUUUAUAAAAUACUCCUGUCACAAAGGUGGGAAACUAUGUAAUGUUAUCGUCGGCUAAGAGUGUUAACCUGCUAACUCUAUUUUUCACUGUGAGUGAUAUUGGGGUAGUUUCUAGGUCUGUGUACCUUCAUACCAUGUCCCACAAGCCCGCUGGUUCCACUGUAGUUUAGAGAUAGCUACUUCUAAACUACAUUGGUGUCGGCGGGUUUGUGGGGUGGUGUAUGAAAAUACACAGACCCAGAAACUAGCCCAAUAUCACUCAAAGUGAAAAAUGGAGUUAGCAGGUUAAAAAUCUUAUCCAAGGUUAUGUUAAUUUAUUCGUUUAUAACGAUAAGUUCCACUUCUACCAGUUUCAUCUCUUUUUAUCUCACAAGUUAAUAUGUUUUCCAUCUUUUGCGUUAUUUUGCCGGUUAUUAGUGUGAGUGCUCAUUACUGUAUAUUUACGAUUCUGUGAUUUCUCAAUAUGAUGCUGAGUAGGUAUAGAUGAGCAUCUACAACCCUUUCAAAACAGAAAUUUAUAAGUUCAUUUUAUGUACCUAUUAAACUUUAUUUUAAGGAUGAAUUUGAAAUGCUUGUAGGGAAUAUAUCUGUAAAAAUAAAAUUGGUAUUAUAAAAUUGAAAUUCUCAAAAUAUAAUUUAUAAUUCGAA